rnacentral:rRNA from 1 species
GCUAUCUGCAGUCGGAGGGAUUCGGGAGCUUGCUCCCGAUGAGAGUGGCGCACGGGUGCGUAACACGUAUGCAACCUACCUUUACCAGGGGGAUAGCCUCUCGAAAGAGAGAUUAAGACCGCAUAAAAUUGAGAUAUGGCAUCAUAUUUUGAUCAAAUAUUUAUAGGGUAAAGAUGGGCAUGCGGAACAUUAGCUAGUUGGUAAGGUAACGGCUUACCAAGGCGACGAUGUUUAGGGGAUCUGAGAGGAUGACCCCCCACACUGGUACUGAGACACGGACCAGACUCCUACGGGAGGCAGCAGUAAGGAAUAUUGGUCAAUGGGCGGAAGCCUGAACCAGCCAUGCCGCGUGCAGGAAGACGGCCCUAUGGGUUGUAAACUGCUUUUGUACGGGAAUAAACCUUAAUACGUGUAUCAAGCUGAAUGUACCGUAAGAAUAAGGAUCGGCUAACUCCGUGCCAGCAGCCGCGGUAAUACGGAGGAUCCGAGCGUUAUCCGGACUUAUUGGGUUUAAAGGGUGCGUAGGCGGCUUUUUAAGUCAGGGGUGAAAGACGGCAGCUCAACUGUCGCAGUGCCUUUGAUACUGAAGAGCUUGAAUACACUUGAAGUAGGCGGAAUGUGACAAGUAGCGGUGAAAUGCAUAGAUAUGUCACAGAACACCAAUUGCGAAGGCAGCUUACUAAAGUGUGAUUGACGCUGAGGCACGAAAGCGUGGGGAUCAAACAGGAUUAGAUACCCUGGUAGUCCACGCCCUAAACGAUGAACACUCNAUGUUGGCGAUAUACGGUCAGCGUCUAAAGCGAAAGCGUUAAGUGUUCCACCUGGGGAGUACGCCCGCAAGGGUGAAACU